AUUCUGAAUAGGAUUUUUUUUUCCCCCAGAAAAGCAUUUCAAUGCCAAGAAUCAGUAUGAGUCAGAAGUUAUAAAUCGUCCUUAAAACAAGCCACUCUUUAUUCAAACCUAAUUAUAUUUUAAGUCAGUGCUCUCUUGGAGGGCCAGUAAAUUCUUGAUCAUGGAUCUUACACACACACACACACACACACACCUAAAUUCAACUGUAGCCCCUAAAUCAUCACUGUCUCUAUCCCAUUAUAGUCUCACAUGAGCUCAUUCACAUUUCCUUUUUCCCCAUUUUCUGGGUCUGAUCUCUGGCUGCAUCUGCCAUGCUUUGGCCACUUCUAGACAUAUUUACAAACCGGGUACAUUACUCUUCCGCCCUCUUGCCUCUGCUACUUGCACCUCAGCACUUUAUCCCUUAAAAUUCAGCCCUGCCUCUGCCAUGCUCACAAUGCAGUUUUUUGUUCUGUCCGUUCUGAGGAGAGUAACCUGAAACUCCACUUCACAAUGAGGUCUUGAGGGUUUCGGGAGGCAGAGAAAGCUUCUCAAAACACUCCGAGUUUGGGGCCUACAGAAGAAUAAAAACACACACCAUCGUUACACAUGGUUUUCAUCAAAAGGACUGAAAUAAUUCCAAAGAGGUCAGCAUUUUUAGAAUUAAUUAGCGCUCUGCCUCUCGGUGGAAAACCAAAGGCUGGUCUGUUUCACAGCAAACUGAGGUCGAGUUCUUUUUCCUAUUUUUCUAAGUCGAGCAGAUGGUUUGCAUUAAAAAUGAUACUUGCUAAGGGAGUUGCAGUCUUUGGGGAGACGCGUCUCUAAAGUUUCAUGAGACGCUACUCCAACCUGAGCGAGUGUGUAGAGAGUAACUGAGCACAACAAGGCAGCUUGCCUCCUCCGAACAGAUUGGGACCACUUCCCGGGAGCCUCUUUCUGGUGCACUUGAAGAUGGAGCCACGCCCUGGAGGCAGAACGGUCAUCGCAGACCUAGCUGAUUUCCUCCAACACAGAAAUUUGGAAAGGAUGCAAGAGAGAGAAUGAGUCAACAAAUCAUAGAAUCAAAAUUCCCUGAGCUCCCUUAAAUGACCACUGUUCCCAAAAAACGAUCCCAGAUCUGCACCUUGGAGAGACUGAGCAUGCAGACAAGACAAUGGCUGGACCGUCUAUAAAAACCUACAACCUACAGCAACC
rnacentral:lncRNA from 1 species